GACGAACGCUGGCGGCGUGCCUAAUACAUGCAAGUAGAACGCACAGUUUAUACCGUAGCUUGCUACACCAUAAACUGUGAGUUGCGAACGGGUGAGUAACGCGUAGGUAACCUGCCUGGUAGCGGGGGAUAACUAUUGGAAACGAUAGCUAAUACCGCAUAAUAUUAAUUAUUGCAUGAUAAUUGAUUGAAAGAUGCAAUUGCAUCACUACCAGAUGGACCUGCGUUGUAUUAGCUAGUAGGUGAGGUAACGGCUCACCUGGGCGACGAUACAUAGCCGACCUGAGAGGGUGAUCGGCCACACUGGGACUGAGACACGGCCCAGACUCCUACGGGAGGCAGCAGUAGGGAAUCUUCGGCAAUGGACGAAAGUCUGACCGAGCAACGCCGCGUGAGGGAAGAAGGUUUUCGGAUCGUAAAGCUCUGUUGUAAGAGAAGAACGGGUGUGAGAGUGGAAAGUUCACACUGUGACGGUAUCUUACCAGAAAGGGACGGCUAACUACGUG
rnacentral:rRNA from 1 species